AAUACGCUGCGUUCUAGCUGAUAGUCGUCAGCUGCUCUAUACCGAUGGCUUUCCAGUAAGAAACGUGUUUAACCGUGUUAUAUGUGCUUGCUUCAAUGGAGCGUCCAACACCGCUCAAACAGGAGGCUUGGACAUGCGAGUGAUAGUAAGCAAGAUAAGCAGGGUCUGACCUGAGGUUCUGCUCCGCCUCCACCACAUCCAGCAGCUGAUGAUAUCUCCAGAGGAUCUCAAGGUUUCUAAGCAAUGCACGGCGUUAUUGCUUUCUACAAAGACACAACGAGAGUCCUUGUUAACACUCUUGGAUUUCAAAGUUAUGGAGGCACACGCUCCAUACGUCUGGGUGGGAUGUUUUCUCAGAAAUCCUGGAGGUCUCGAGUUUUCUUGACUUUUAGGGAAGGUCAGGUAUGGACGUCCAUGAGCAAGAUGAGAUAGCAGUUUCGCAAUGGUUUCAAGAAGCAUGAGCCGCAGGUCUUCGAGCUCAUAACCUUUCCAAAGUUUGGCAUUGGACAGCGUGCGUUUCUCAUCCAGACUCAAGAGGGAAACAUACUGUGGGACUGCAUCUCAUUUCUAGACGAUGCCACAGUGGCGAUAAUCAAGUCACUAGGUGGAUUGAGAGCGAUUGCCAUUUCUCACCCGUAUUACUA